GAACUACUACUGCCUCAAAACGAUUUUUGGCGCUGCCAUUACGUCAAGCGCCUGGCAGGUCUCAUAAUACGUCUUCCUUGUCCAUGGCCGAGGGUGAUACGUGGCGGUGAGGUCACAGGUCAACAUUUCAACAAGAGUCACCCAGGGUGUGGGUGACCAGGGGUGAGCAGUGACCUGACCACCUUCCCCUUGCCACAGGAACCCAAGGAGUAUGGCUUGAUCCUGCCCAUCAAGAACAAGAACAAGGUUGGGGGAGAGCUAGGCACGCGGAAACUCAACCCUCUGCUGGACUCAGAUGACGAGCUGGACCAGGAUGAAGAGUACCCCCUUGACUGGGUGGAGGCAUCCCUCAAGCCGGGAACUCAGGUCAGCAGAGUCUACAGAAGCGGCUGCUGCGUGAAGCUCUGGAGGAGGACGCGUCAGUGUUCCAGCGUGACGAGGCGUACGACAGCAUGCAGGCCGCCAAGACGGGCUGCCGGGAAGCUAAGGACCCAGCCGCCAAGAAGGUGAGGAGCUAGUGUUGUUGUUUGCAUGCGUAGAGGAGUUUAGGUUCGCCAUGUUAUACCUCCAUAUUGUAACUCAUUUCCGAGUGCCUUCAUCCCUUCCUUUUCCUUUCAUUCGCUUUCAGAAUCCUUCCUUUCCCUUCCCUCCAUUCCCUUUCAAACUCCUUCCCAAGUGUCUCCAUUCCUUUCCUUAUCCUUCCAUUCCCUUUCAAACUCUUUCUCAUCCCUUUCCUCCCUUUCAAUCUCCUUCUCAAGUGUCUCCAUCCCUUCCCCUUCUUUCCAUUCCCUUUCAAACUCAUUCCCAAGUGUCUCCAUCCCUUCCCUUUCCUAUUC